rnacentral:rRNA from 1 species
AUGGAUUCCUGCCCCGCCAAAGUUCUCUCGGACGGGCUGACGCCGGACCAGAAGAAGGAGAUGACUGCCAUUGCCGUCGGCUGGAUGGCUGGUAGGCAGCCGGAGGACGACGACAUCCCAAUGGAGGACGCGACUGAUGACGAGCCAGCGCCACCCUCCUCCUCCUCCACUCCACCCUUGCCGAUGCAUUGCACCAUGACCAUCGGCAAGGCUCGUGCCCAUUACAUGGACAUGGCGCGGGAGGAUCAGUACCGGGAGGUGCAGGCCGACGCCGCCUAUAACCACCUCCUCCUCCGGGAGCACCUGCAGGCAGAGGAUCAGCUUGCCGCCAUCAAGGAGACCGCGUCAGACGCGGACCCUGUGGAGCAGCGCAGGAGGCGCUGCUUGAGUCCUAUCGCUCCGCCCGCGAGAUUCGCCUCGCCCGUCGAUGGGCGGCGGAGGUGGCGUCCGCCUAUAAGGAGUGCGGCGAUGAGCCAGGCAAGACGGUGUUCGGCAAGACCGACGAUGAGGAGGACAACGCCGAGGCUACUCCCCGCCGGCACGUUCGCGGGCGCCGCCGCUCGGGUCUCAGGAAGGCCACCGUUCCUCCCCUUCCGUCGACACCAGGCUUGGUGGGCUGAGCAUCGGUGGCUGAUUAGUCGCUUGGCAGCAACGUGA